AUCCCCCAACAUUCCUUUCACUAUCUUAUAUGAACGAUUCUCAUCAGCACCUGAAGUCAUCAUAAUUAUACGACAAUAGUUGCAACCUGCAUGCACCAAUACUGCUUGAAUAGAGAGCCCUCCUUUUUCAGGCACAGUCGGUUUCUAGUAGAUCAUUUCCAUUGGCCAAAUCAUUCAGGAUGCAGUGGUGCUUACAAAAUGAGCACCUAUAUAGACAAUAUGAUGCCUUGAACAGCCAGAUGGUA